UACGUAGGGGGCUAGCGUUAUCCGGAAUUACUGGGCGUAAAGGGUGUGUAGGCGGUUUGAUAAGUUAGAGGUGAAAUGUCGGGGCUCAACCCCGAAACUGCCUCUAAUACUGUUGGACUAGAGAAUAGUUGCGGUAGGCGGAAUGUAUGGUGUAGCGGUGAAAUGCUUAGAGAUCAUACAGAACACCGAUUGCGAAGGCAGCUUACCAAACUAUAUCUGACGUUGAGGCACGAAAGCGUGGGUAGCAAACAGG
rnacentral:rRNA from 1 species